rnacentral:rRNA from 1 species
GACGAACGCUGGCGGCGCGCUUAACACAUGCGAGUCGAGCGAUGAAAUCUUAACAGAACCCUUCGGGGUGAAGAUAAGACGGAUUAGCGGCGGACGGGUGAGUAACACGUGAGUAACCUGCCUUUUACACAGGGAUAGCCUCAGGAAACCGGGAUUAAAACCUGAUGAAACUAUCAAAUCACAUGAUUAAGAAAGUUAAAACUCCGGUGGUAAAAGAUGGACUCGCGUCCCAUUAGCUAGUUGGUGAAGGUAACGGCCCACCAAGGCAACGAUGGGUAGCCGGCCUGAGAGGGUGAACGGCCACAUUGGAACUGAGAAACGGUCCAAACUCCUACGGGAGGCAGCAGUGGGGAAUAUUGCACAAUGGGGGAAACCCUGAUGCAGCGACGCCGCGUGAGCGAAGAAGGCCUUCGGGUCGUAAAGCUCUUUUAUAUGGGAAGAUAAUGACGGUACCAUAAGAAAAAGCCCCGGCUAACUACGUG